rnacentral:rRNA from 1 species
GUGUCAGCAGCCGCGGUAAUACGUAGGGCGCAAGCGUUGUCCGGAAUUAUUGGGCGUAAAGAGCUCGUAGGCGGUCUGUCACGUCGGCUGUGAAAACCCGAGGCUCAACCUCGGGCCUGCAGUCGAUACGGGCAGACUAGAGUUCGGUAGGGGAGACUGGAAUUCCUGGUGUAGCGGUGAAAUGCGCAGAUAUCAGGAGGAACACCGGUGGCGAAGGCGGGUCUCUGGGCCGAAACUGACGCUGAGGAGCGAAAGCGUGGGGAGCAAACAGGAUUAGAUACCCCCGUAGUCC